CUUGUUAUUGAAGUGUUUUUUAUGUUAUUGACACUGAAAAUGUAUGACCACUUUUUAGUUUAGUUUUGUGGCCAGUAUCGUCCAUCAUAAAAGCAUUCGCAAAUCUAGCAGCCACGCGCAGCAUGCAACCUCUAAGUUUGUCCCAGAAGAGCUGCCGUGUUUAGCCGUCCAAGAUGGCGCAAACGGCAGCGACACUGAUUGGCUAGAUUGGCUUGCUCGCUUUUAAAAGCCACAGGUGGUAGCAAGUUGUUCCUAAUUGGCGUUUCAGCGUGGUCCACAUGAACGGCUCGGGAAGAAUUAUUGAACAUCAUGAAGAGUGGAGCUUUGGCCCAGAGGCAAUGUCUCUGUCAUUGGUGUGGAACCCCUGGGCAAGUUCGAAUCCAGGUUAGGCGGGUUGGAACCUUCCAGUGGACCCACCACCCGCAGGAAGGUUUAGGGGGGUUGGUACGGUGCAAUGUGCUUUGGAUGGCGACUGCUGCCCCUGCGACCCGGUAACGGAUAAGCGGAUGAAGAUGGAUGGACAUCAUGAAGAUCUUCAAUGGUAGGAGUGUUUUUUUUCUUCUCUCCCUUCUUCCCUUUUUCUUCGAGUCGUUCACCCAGGCUACUGUGCCACUUCCUUCUCUUACCUGGCUGCCAUGCCACUGCUGUCCCCUAUGUGGUUGCCGUGCCACUUCCUCUGUCCUCUACCCUGGCUGCCGUGCCACUUCUGUCUUCUACCCUGGCUGCUGUGCCACUUCUGUCCCCUAUGUGGCUGGCAUGCCACUACUGUCACCCAUGUGGCUGCCGUGCCACUUCCUGUCCUCUACCCUGGCUGCCGUGCCACUCCUGUCCCCUAUGUGGCUGCCAUGCCACUACUGUCACCCAUGUGGCUGCCGUGCCACUUCCUGUCCUCUACCCGGGCUGCCGUGCCACUAAUGUUUCCCUUCCUGGCUGCCGUGCCACUUCUGUCUUCUACCCUGGCUGCCGUGCCACUUAUGUUUCCCUUCCUGGCUGCCGUGCCACUUCCGUCCUCUACCUGUUUACUUUGGCUGCCAUGCCACUACUGUCCCCUAUGUGGCUGCCACGCCACUACUGUCCCCUAUGUGGCUGCCCUGCCACUACUGUCCCCAUGUGGCUGCCGUGCCACUUCCUGUCCUCUACCCGGGCUGCCGUGCCACUAAUGUUUCCCUUCCUGGCUGCCGUGCCACUUCCGUCCUCUCCCUGUUUACUUUGGCUGCCAUGCCCCUACUGUCCCCUAUGUGGCUGCCCUGCCACUACUGUCCCCAUGUGGCUGCCGUCCCACUUUCUCUGUCCUCUACCCUGGCUGCCGUGCCACUCCUGUCCCCUAUGUGGCUGCCAUGCCACUUCUUCUGUCCUCUACCCUGGCUUCCGUUCCGCUUAUGUUUCUCUUCCUGGCUGCCGUGCCACUUCCGACCUCUACCUGUUUACCUUGGCUGCCAUGCCGCUUCUGUCCCCUACGUGGCUGCCGUGCCAUUUCGCUCCCACUUCCUGGCUGCCGUGCCAUUUCGGUCCCACUUCCUGGCUGCCGUGCCACUUUCUCUUACCUGGCUGCCGUGCCACUUUGGUCCCCUAUGUGGCUGCCAUGCCACUUCUUCUGUCCUCUACCCUGGCUGCUGUGCCGCUUCUGUCCCCCUUCCUGGCUGCCGUGACGCUUCUAUCUUUGCUGCCGUGCUACAUCUGUUCUCUAACUAAGAUCAGUCAAUUAAACAGGUGAGACUCAUCAUGUUUCCUGCCACAGAUGGGUCUGUUCUGGACCCAUACAAGCUCUGGAAAUUUGGCAUAGUUGACUGUAGGGUGAAGGUGGUCCAGGGGAACCAACUUCAUCGUGGAAAGAUCUUCUCAGCCAAAGGUUGUCUUCAGGAUUCUGUGGACCAGAGUUGAGCAAGUAGGGAGAAGAUCUGGACCUGGUAGAUCAGCCCGGACCUGAGGGUUCACAUUAGAUGACACAUCUCAGGACAAUUGUUUGAGUUAUCUACUGUCCACACUGCAGGGAUGGACACCGAUGUUGACCUGACUGUGUCGAGCUUGACAUAUGUACAGUGCAACUAACGUGAAAGGCAGAAGCGCACUCACCAUAAAGGGCACCAUUUAAGUCAGAUUUGGAGAAGCAACAUCCUGAACAAGUCAUCACUGCAGCCAAGAUAACCCAGACCUGCCUUCUUUCCUACUGGGAACCUCCUUCUGAGGUACUCGACCCAGGCCCAUCACAGCUAAGGAGGAGACAGGAGUCUGCUCUGCUUUUUUUUUUUUCUCCUCCCCAUAAAGUUGACCGUUUACAAAUCAACAUGACUUUUCAUGGAUAUUUAAAUAAUUGGUCUUUAGUCACUGAUGAUUUAAUCUAAACACUUGAUACCUGAUUUGCUUUGCUUUAGUUUACGAUCAGUCAGAGUUUAAUGAGCUGGAUUUCCUUCACACUAUUAACACUACUGUCCUUCACUUCUGUCCUCACCCUUCUUCUUAAAUAUCCAGUCAUGAAUUUUUACUGAGUGUUGUACCAUGGAUGCCUUCAACAAAAUCAGACAUGGAUCCAUCUGCUUUUGUGACCUGGUCUAUUCAUGGUGCAACAUUAUCCUUUAUAUAUUCUACCAAGCAGGCAAUGUAAAGUUAGAACAAAUGAUUUUUUUUUUUUUUUUUUAGUGCUUCAUCAGUGGUUUUUGGCCAAGUCAAACACUAUACAUGAAAAGUCAUGGUGAUUCAGUUGGUGGUUGCCUUGUUUGUUGUUUUAGUUUGGUGUGGAGGUCCAUGAUUGUCCUUUUUUGGGUUGUUUUUUUAUAUGUAUAGGCUUAUUUUUGCUUUUUUCUUUAUAUAAGGUUAGAAGGAAUCUCCAGGGUGACAACCAACUGCAUAGUUGACCCUGGUGUCUUUUCUUUAACUGUUUGUCUGCAACCUUUUUAAGGUAAAAUUUCAAAAAUAAACUACAUUUAAAGUUAACACGAUUGCGCUGUCUUACCUUCUUGUAUAACGUAAAUCCAAGGAAUUCAAAAUGUUAACCUGUGUUCUUCAUUAAACUAAAUACUGAGACACUGACCUUGGUGUU